CUCACCUGGUCCACGCAUUCUGUGGGGCGGCGGGCCAGUUUUCCCCCAAAUCCACCACCGUCGCUCUCGGGAAUCGCCGGAAUAGUGGAAGGCGAAGGGAGAAGGGGAGAAGGGGGGAGGGGAGAAAGAGAGCGACCCCCUGCGACUGCCAAAAUGACGACGGGAUGAGGGCCGGCUCGCCAUACGCGCGCGGCAACCAGCAAGCGGAGGAGGGAGGAGACAGGUGUCGGAGUCCCGGUGACCAGCAAGCGAAGAGCCGAGGGGACAGCGUCGUCUGUGCGCCGCGACCACCUAGCGGGGAGGAGCUAGAUCGGGGAAGGUGCCGUCGCCAGGUGGUCGAGGAAUCGGGCAGCAAAGUGCCGAAAAAAAGGUGGAGCUGGAGAGGCCGUUGGGGAGGAGGAAACUUACAUUCUAAUGCAGGAGGCGCCGGGAGGGAGGUGCUGAGCGGUUAUGAUCGGGGGUAGGAUCCUGCGCCAUGUGCGAUGGUGGUUAGGACCCUUUCUUUCCUUUUUUGUAUGACAGCUGGCAAAGGGUGCGGGACACCACUGCCAUAUUUAGGUGUGUGCUCUGGAACGCUACCCAGCCAACGUGUGCUGGCUAGUCGCGUCCUUUCUUCUUUGAGAUGGCAUAAAUAGAUGGGUCCAAAUGUUCCGGCCAACGACUAUUAGCCCAAGCAUUUUAAGACUUCGAGUAAAAAUAUCCAAGCACUACUGGAAUCA
rnacentral:rRNA from 1 species